rnacentral:tRNA from 1 species
AUUUAAAUAGUUUAAUUAAAAUAUUAGUUUGUGGAACUAAUGAUAUGUGAAAUCAUUUUAGAUA